rnacentral:rRNA from 1 species
AUCUCUUGGUUCCGGCAUCGAUGAAGAACGCAGCGAAAUGCGAUAAGUAAUGUGAAUUGCAGAAUUCAGUGAAUCAUCGAAUCUUUGAACGCACAUUGCGCCCCCUGGUAUUCCGGGGGGCAUGCCUGUUCGAGCGUCAUU